GAAGCUGUAGUUCAGUGGAAGAGCAUCUGCGUUUCAUGCAGAAGGUCUCGGGCUCAAUCCAUAGCAUCUUCA
rnacentral:tRNA from 1 species